UACGGAGGGGGCUAGCGUUGUUCGGAAUUACUGGGCGUAAAGCGCACGUAGGCGGCUUUGUAAGUUAGAGGUGAAAGCCUGGUGCUCAACACCAGAACUGCCUUUAAGACUGCAUCGCUUGAAUCGCGGAGAGGUGAGUGGAAUUCCGAGUGUAGAGGUGAAAUUCGUAGAUAUUCGGAAGAACACCAGUGGCGAAGGCGGCUCACUGGACGCGUAUUGACGCUGAGGUGCGAAAGCUAGGGGAGCGAACGGG
rnacentral:rRNA from 1 species